rnacentral:rRNA from 1 species
GAGUUUGCUCCUGGCUCAGAAUGAACGCUAGCGGCGUGGAUUAGGCAUGCAAGUCGAACGAGAAAGCACCUUCGGGUAUUAGUAAAGUGGCGAACGGGUGAGUAAGGCGUAAAUGAUCUACCCUCAUGACUGGGAUAACAGUUCGAAAGAACUGCUAAUACCGGAUGCGGUCCUCAGAUUGCGAUUUGGUGAUUAAAGAUGGCCUCUAUUUUAAGCUGUCGCAUGAGGAGGAGUUUACGUGCUAUUAGUUAGUUGGUGGGGUAAUGGCCUACCAAGACAAUGAUGGCUAGCCGGCCUGAGAGGGUGUCCGGCCACACUGGGACUGAGACACUGCCCAGACUCCUACGGGAGGCUGCAGUCGAGAAUCUUCCACUAAUGCGCGAAAGCGUGAUGGAGCGACGCCGCGUGUGUGAUGAAGGCCUUCGGGUUGUAAAGUUCUGUCACAUGGUCCUAAACCCACAGAGCGAAUAACCUUUGAGGUCGAAGUGCCGUGGAAGGAAGCACCGGCUAAAUUCGUGCCAGCAGCCGCGGUAAUACGAAUGGUGCAAGCGUUGUUCGGAAUCACUGGGCAUAAAGAGCAUGUAGGCGGCUUUGCCUGUUGUCCGUGAAAUCCCCCGGCUCAACCGAGGAGCUGCGUCUGAAACUACGUUGCUAGAGUGCGGGAGGGGAGAGUGGAAUUCCAGGUGGAGCGGUGAAAUGCGUAGAUAUCUGGAGGAACGCCGGCGGCGAAAGCGACUCUCUGGCCCGCUACUAACGCUUAGGCGCGAAAGCUUGGGUAGCAAACAGCAUUAGAUACCCUGGUACUCCAAGCUGUAAACGAGGACGACUAAGUGGUGGGACUCCCAAGGUCUCGCUGCCGGAGCCAAUGUAUUAAGUGGUCCGCCUGGGGAGUAUGGUCGCAAGGCUGAAACUCAAAGGAAUUGACGGGGGCUCACACAAGCGGUGGAGCAUGUUGUUUAAUUCGAUUCAACGCGAAGAACCUUACCUGGGCUUGACAUGUAUGUAGUAUCAAUCCGAAAGGGGCGAGACCUACUUUGUAGGAGCAUACACAGGUAUUGCACGGCUGUCGUCAGCUCGUGUCGUGAGAUGUUGGGUUAAGUCCCGUAACGAGCGCAACCCCUAUUGUUAGUUGCUAACAGGUAAUGCUGAGGACUCUAGCGAGACUGCCGGUGUUAAACCGGAGGAAGGCGGGGACGACGUCAAGUCAUCAUGGUCCUUACGCCCAGGGCUACAAACGUGCUACAAUGGCAGGUACAAAGGGAAGCAAGACCGCGAGGUGGAGCAAAUCCCAAAAAGCCUGCCCCAGUUCGGAUAGGAGGCUGCAACUCGCCUCCUUGAAGUUGGAAUCGCUAGUAAUCGCAGAUCAGCCAUGCUGCGGUGAAUGUGUUCCUGAGCCUUGUACACACCGCCCGUCAAGCCACCCAAAUUGGUCGCACCCGUAGUCACAGACCCAACCGCAAGGAGGGAUGUGCCGAAGGUGAGGUUUGUGAGGGGGACUAAGUCGUAACAAGGUAACC